ensembl:snRNA U2 U2 spliceosomal RNA
AUCGCUUCUCGGCCUUUUGGCUAAGAUCAAGUGUAGUAUCUGUUCUUAUCAGUUUAAUAUAACCUGGAUUUUGAUUGGCUCUUAUAUUCAGAAAUGAUUUUGUAAAGCUGCACACUGAUUAUUUGGAAAACGCUAGAAGUGUGCAUGUGCGCCUAUGGUUAAAUUCCCAGUAUUGACACAUUUAAU